rnacentral:tRNA from 1 species
UAGCUCAGUUGGUAGAGCAUGGCGCUUGCAAUGCCAGAGUUGUGGGUUUGAUUCCCAA